rnacentral:lncRNA from 1 species
ACAGCUAUAAGUGGGGAUGGAGAUCAGAGCAUCUUUUCCCAUUACUGAUGCUGGUUAAAGUUGACUCCGUGAAUUCAGAGCUGGAGCACGUCAAAAGUAUGAGGAACACAAAGCAAUUAUCAGGUUCAUGCAAGGGGAAAGGCCAGCGUGGAGAAAGGGCAGAGAAGAAAGGAAAGCACCAAGGUCUGGAAGUUUCCUUGAACUUCCUAAUCACCUUCAAGGCCUGGUGGCUUAUCUGACCAUAGACCAUCUGUUCUGCCCUGGAGUUAGAGCAUGGUAUUGGCAGAGCCCUUUGAAACCUUUGAACGCAGGGCCCCAUAAUGGCUGCCCCUGCCCCUCUCAGCAUCAGCAGCCCUGUGCCACCUUCUGCACUCACCUUCUGGUCCCAGACCAUUUGGAAACCAUCUGGAACUCAUUAUGAAAAUCAAGCUUGGUUUCGGCAUGAGCAAGUAAGGAAAGCUGUAACUGCAAGAUAAGAAAAGACUGGGACUUUGCUUCUGACCACACUCUCAACUGGGUUCCUUCGUGGGGUCUGUCCCAGCCUUCAUCUACUGCCCUUCCUCCCCGCUGCCACAUGGGAACAGAGUACCUGGAGGAAAUCCCUCUGGCAGGAGUAAAUUAAAUAGGGGAGGGGGCGGAUGAGGGGGUGGAGAUGGGCAUUAGUCCUCGGGAGGAAAAAGAUGGUUCUCUGCAUGCAAGAGAUGGAGCCACCAUGAGAAGCAUCCCCCAGGAGGCUUGCUGAUUGUCUGUCUCUUUCUGUCCCCCCAAACUAAGGCCACUAGAGAAUGAUAAUCAAGCCCAAUUCAUUACAUGUCGUGUCAAUUUUUUUGAAAAAGAUGAAUAGUGAAAUGUUUUUAAAUUCUUUGCCUAAUUGAAAUCAAUGUUUAUAUGAUUUGCCAAAGUUUUAAAAAAUGUGUGUGACGGGCUGAAAAUGUUAGCUCAAGGAGAGGUUCAGGCGCAGCAGAUGCAAAAACAUCGAAAAUCAUUCAUCUAAUUUAAUUGUCAAGUUGUGCCAAAAAUGCUAACGUGAUAUCUUUGAAGAGUAAUUGGUACAAAGAAUAUCCUCAAAGAGAAGUAUUUCCACACCCAUCUGGCUCGUAUCUCCCCCCCCCCCUUGUUGGCAGAGCCCCGUGCGCUCCAUCCCUUCCCCUCUGCACAGGCACCCAGCUCCCUCUGCAGCCUUUUCAGCCACCAAUGAUCAUCCUAUGGAAAGGAACUCGAAUUCUUUCUUUAGAUGUAGUCCAAGAUAUUCGUGGAAGAAUUCUUAAUCCUCUGUUUCUACCAAAUAUGGCCUUUGCAAGUGUCUGCUUGACCUGGUAAGCCGGGGAAUUGUGGCUUGCUCCACUCGGAGACAAGAGCACCUGCUCUCACAAAAGGAGAAUGAAUAUGAAGUUUGUGUGAGAUUUCCUGGAAGUGAGUCCAGAGGCUACUGUUAGCUUCUCCCCUCAGACAUUCCCUGGAGAGAGAACUAAAUGGUGAGGAAAACGGAACCUCCCACUCCAUGUUUACCCAUCUAAAAGGAUGAAAAGUAGUGUUCCCUUCAUGAGCAGCACCCACAGUGCCCCUGGGUCAGUACAGUAGUGCUCUCUCUGCCUCCUGGACCACAGGUGAUGGACGGCUUACCCUCAUCUUCCUGCAUCUGCAGCCUUCUCUAGUGGCAAAUCUCACUCUAGCCACAUUCCAGAGCCCCCAUUCUCAGCUCCCCUCUCCUGUUCUCAUAUCACUUUACAGGUAUGAGCACACAUGCAUGCACACACACCAGAGAGACUACAUAUUUACCUUGUUCACUGUCGGUCAACCCUCAUGGACAAAGAUCUCGUUUGCUAGGUACCUGGCACACAGCAGAUACUUGGUAACAGUUUGUCAAGAGGAUGAAUGGAGAUUCUGGGAUUCAUAAAAUUACCAACACAGCAACAUUCCUGUUAAGAGCAGUAGUCAGGAAAGGGGAUAUCUGCCAGCCACAGCCUGGUUAUCCAUUAUGGGUCUUUUCUAUUUC